AAUCCAUGUUUUAAGCAUUGGAUUAGUAAACCCUUGUAACAUUCACAUGCCUCUGAGUAGCAUUCUGAGUGUAGUUGUUAGAAGGUCGUAAUCUGAUUCCUUAGCUU
rnacentral:snoRNA from 1 species